UACAGAGGUCUCAAGCGUUGUUCGGAUUCAUUGGGCGUAAAGCGUGCGCAGGCGGUUGGCAAAGUCAGCUGUGAAAGCCCCGGGCUCAACCUGGGAAUUGCGGUUGAAACUAGUCGACUAGAAUCUGGCAGAGGGGGGUGGAAUUCCACGUGUAGCAGUGAAAUGCGUUGGAGAUCGGAAGGAACGCCCGUGGCGAAAGCGAGGUCCUGGACCCGUUUCUGACGCUGACGAGUGCGAAAAGCCAGGGGAGCGAACGGG
rnacentral:rRNA from 1 species